rnacentral:rRNA from 1 species
AUUGAACGCUGGCGGCAUGCUUUACACAUGCAAGUCGAACGGUAACAGGCCGCAAGGUGCUGACGAGUGGCGAACGGGUGAGUAAUGCAUCGGAACGUGCCCAGUCGUGGGGGAUAACGCAGCGAAAGCUGUGCUAAUACCGCAUACGAUCUAUGGAUGAAAGCGGGGGACCGUAAGGCCUCGCGCGAUUGGAGCGGCCGAUGUCAGAUUAGGUAGUUGGUGGGGUAAAGGCCUACCAAGCCGACGAUCUGUAGCUGGUCUGAGAGGACGACCAGCCACACUGGGAAUGAGACACGGCCCAGACUCCUACGGGAGGAAGCAGUGGGGAAUUUUGGACAAUGGGCGCAAGCCUGAUCCAGCAAUGCCGCGUGCAGGAAGAAGGCCUUCGGGUUGUAAACUGCUUUUGUACGGAACGAAACGGCCUGGGUUAAUACCCUGGGCUAAUGACGGUACCGUAAGAAUAAGCACCGGCUAACUACGUGCCAGCCGCCGCCGUAAUAC